UGGGUAGGGGAGCGUCGUGUGCCGGGUGAAGCAGCCGCGGAAGCGAGUUGUGGACGGUUCACGAGUGAGAAUGCAGGCAUGAGUAGCGAUACAAACGUGAGAAACGUUUGCGCCGAUUGACCAAGGGUUCCUGGGUCAAGCUGAUCUGCCCAGGGUAAGUCGGGACCUAAGGCGAGGCCGACAGGCGUAGUCGAUGGAUAACCGGUUGAUAUUCCGGUACCCGCUGUGAAGCGUCAAACAUCGAACCAGGCGAUGCUAAGUCCGUGAAGCCGCCCCGGAGCCUUCGGGCAAAGGGGAGUGGUGGAGCCGACGAACCAGACUUGCAGUAGGUGAGUGAUGGGGUGACGCAGGAAGGUAGUCCAUCCCGGGCGGUGGUUGUCCCGGGGUAAGGGUGUAGGCCGUGCGAUAGGUAAAUCCGUCGCACAUGAGGCUGAGACCUGAUGCCGAGCCGAUUGUGGUGAAGUGGAUGAUCCUAUGCUGUCGAGAAAAGCCUCUAGCGAGUUUCAUGGCGGCCCGUACCCUAAACCGACUCAGGUGGUCAGGUAGAGAAUACCGAGGCGUUCGGGUGAACUAUGGUUAAGGAACUCGGCAAAAUGCCCCCGUAACUUCGGGAGAAGGGGGGCCAUCACUGGUGAUCCGAUUUACUCGGUGAGCUGGGGGUGGCCGCAGAGACCAGCGAGAAGCGACUGUUUACUAAAAACACAGGUCCGUGCGAAGCCGUAAGGCGAUGUAUACGGACUGACGCCUGCCCGGUGCUGGAACGUUAAGGGGACCGGUUAGUCACUCUUCGGGGUGGCGAAGCUGAGAACUUAAGCGCCAGUAAACGGCGGUGGUAACUAUAACCAUCCUAAGGUAGCGAAAUUCCUUGUCGGGUAAGUUCCGACCUGCACGAAUGGCGUAACGACUUCUCGACUGUCUCAACCAUAGGCCCGGUGAAAUUGCACUACGAGUAAAGAUGCUCGUUUCGCGCAGCAGGACGGAAAGACCCCGGGACCUUUACUACAGUUUGAUAUUGGUGUUCGGUUCGGCUUGUGUAGGAUAGCUGGGAGACUGUGAAGCUCGGACGCCAGUUCGGGUGGAGUCGUCGUUGAAAUACCAGUCUGGUCGUGCUGGAUGUCUAACCCGGGUCCGUGAUCCGGAUCGGGGACAGUGUCUGAUGGGUAGUUUAACUGGGGCGGUUGCCUCCCAAAGGGUAACGGAGGCGCCCAAAGGUUCCCUCAGCCUGGUUGGCAAUCAGGUGGUGAGUGUAAGUGCACAAGGGAGCUUGACUGUGAGACCGACGGGUCGAGCAGGGACGAAAGUCGGGACUAGUGAUCCGGCGGUGGCUUGUGGAAGCGCCGUCGCUCAACGGAUAAAAGGUACCCCGGGGAUAACAGGCUGAUCUUCCCCAAGAGUCCAUAUCGACGGGAUGGUUUGGCACCUCGAUGUCGGCUCGUCGCAUCCUGGGGCUGGAGUCGGUCCCAAGGGUUGGGCUGUUCGCCCAUUAAAGCGGUACGCGAGCUGGGUUUAGAACGUCGUGAGACAGUUCGGUCCCUAUCCGCUGCGCGCGCAGGAAUAUUGAGAAGGGCUGUCCCUAGUACGAGAGGACCGGGACGGACGAACCUCUGGUGUGCCAGUUGUUCUGCCAAGGGCAUGGCUGGUUGGCUACGUUCGGGAGGGAUAACCGCUGAAAGCAUCUAAGCGGGAAGCCUGCUUCGAGAUGAGUAUUCCCACCCACUUGA
rnacentral:rRNA from 1 species